rnacentral:rRNA from 1 species
GUAGUCUGCAACUCGACUACAUGAAGCUGGAAUCGCUAGUAAUCGCAGAUCAGAAUGCUGCGGUGAAUACGUUCCCGGGUCUUGUACACACCGCCCGUCACACCAUGGGAGUCGGAAAUGCCCGAAGCCGGUGACCCAACCAAAGGNGGGAGCCGUCGAAGGUGGGGCCGAUAACUGGGGUGAAGUCGUAACAAGGUAAC